GUUUAGGGCUGGGGUUCUUUAGUCUUGGGGCAGCACCGGGAUAUGAUACAGUCUGAGUUUUGGACAUUGGUGGAGUUACACUUUCAGGCAGCAGGUUGUGUUUGUGAAUUAUAUCCUUAAAAGGACACUGUAGGGCGGCACUACAACCAUUAAUUGAAUUUUAGUGCCUGGAGUCGCCUGGCACCUUCCCUCCAUUCAGUAUUAGACCAG